UGCGGGGUGGACGCUGCCCAAAUACUCCACAGUGUGGAAGUCAAAAAUGAAGCUGCAGCGGUGCUGAUCUCCCAGGAAAAUGGAGGGCAGCUUCAGCCGGGCUCAGAAGAAUGACAUUGUUGUUGAUGUCCUCCUGUGUGUUUCGCAGACAACUCAACCGAAAUCCAACGAAAAGUGACGUUGCCUUCAAAGAGCCGGCGCCCAAGCCUUUCAAACGAGCACAAGGUGGAGCUCAGAGAGACGCCGGGAGGAUGAGGCGGCACAGGGAAACCUCGGGGCAUCAUGAGGAUGAGGCGGCACAGGGAAACCUCGGGGCAUCGUGGGCUCGGUUCCAGACGCAGCAACACAGCGGCGAUCACAACAAAUGCAGCCACACACACUUUUUGGUUUCCUAGCGCAUGUCAAAUGUAUGUUUACACUACACUGUGGCCUAAUAAAUGUGUG